AUUGAACGCUGGCGGCAGGUCUAACACAUGCAAGUCGAACGAGCGGCGGACGGGUGAGUAAUGUCCGGGAAACUGCCUGAUGGAGGGGGAUCACUACUGGAAACGGUAGCUAAUACCGCAUACCAUCGGAUGUGCCCACAGGGGAGUAGCUAGUAGGUGGGGCAAAGGCUCACCUAGGCGACGACCCCUAGCUGGUCUGGGAGGAUGACCAGCCACACUGGAACUGAGACACGGUACGGACUCCGACGGGGGGCAGGAGGGGAGAAUAUUGCACAAUGGGCGCAAGCCUGAUGCAGCCAUGCCGCGUGUAUGAAGAAGGCCUUCGGGUUGUAAAGUACUUUCAGCGGGGAGGCGUUACCCGCAGAAGAAGCACCGGCUAACUCCGUGCCAGCAGCCGCGGUAAUAC
rnacentral:rRNA from 1 species